rnacentral:tRNA from 1 species
GGAGAGGUCGUAUAGUGGCCAUUACAAUAGCUUGGAAAGCUAUGACCCGCAAGGGUCUCGUGGGUUCGAGUCCCACCCUCUCCGCAA